GACGAACGCUGACGGCGUGCUUAACACAUGCAAGUCGAAGGGAGUGGCGAACGGGUGAGUAACACGUGAGUAACCUGCUCUUUUCUUUGGGAUAAGCCUGGGAAACUUGGACUCAUACUGGAUGGAUUGGGAUGGGCUCGCGGCUUAUCAGCUUGUUGGUGGGGUGAUGGCGUACAAAGGCGUUGACGGGUAGCCGGCGUGAGAGGGGGGGCUGUCACUCAGGGACUGGGAUACGGCCCAGGUGAGGAAGCGGUGCGGCAGUGGGGGAUAUUGCACAAGGGAUGAAAGAGUGAUGCCGCGACGUUGUGGGGGGGAUGCAGGCCGUAGGGUUCUAAACUCCGUGCGGACGCGGAAUGGUAGUGGGUAAAGAAGCGCCGGCUAACUACGUGCCAGCAGCCGCGGUAAUUC
rnacentral:rRNA from 1 species